rnacentral:snoRNA from 1 species
CCCAUUGAUGAUGAUGAUUUGAUCGGUUACAUUAUUGCUGGUCUUGAAGAAGAAUAUGAACCAGUGGUCUCUUCCAUUGUGGGGAGACCAGAUCAAGUGACAAUUGGUGAGGCUUUUGCUCAGCUUAUAAGCUUUGAGC